rfam:Vigna angularis cultivar Jingnong 6 chromosome 8, whole genome shotgun sequence.
CUGACGGUUUUAUUAGAAACCACCAAAAAAAAUAAAUGUAUUUAAU